ACACCUCCAGCCCUGUGACGGGCACUCAGGACCACCAAGGGCACUCAGGUGCAGAUGCCCCUGGGAGAACACCACCUUCAUUCAGCCCGGGCGGCCAGAUUAGGGGAAGGUUGCUUCUAGGAGAGAAAGUCUUGAGUCAGGCUUUGUGGAGAAAGGAGGUUUCUACACCCCAAGCGUUCCUGACACAACCCAACCAGCCUGGUGUUGCACCACAGGGCUCACACCUCAGAUCAAGACAACGGGGGCCCAGCCACAGCCCACUGACGAGGGCAUGCAGGGCGUCCAGGAUGCAGGGCAGAGAGAGAAGCGAGGGAUGAGUCACGGAUGCGCCCCCCGCUCUGAGCCCGACGGGGCCCUGAAUGGCUUUUCCUGCCCUGGCUCCUCCCAUCAUAUUUUAAAUGCCGUCUUCCUCCCGCUCCAAGGAAACCUUCUCUUGACGUCAGGUACUCUCCAGCCACGGACCUAUCAACAUUCUGACAGUUUUCUGGUCUUGACACAUUAUCCUUUUAAUAUAGCGCUGGAUUCAAUUUAUUAAUAUUUUAAGUAUUUUUAUGCUCACAGGGGAAGUCGAUCUGAAUCUCCUUUUCUUGUGAUGUCUCGGUCUGGCUUUGGAACACUGGCCUUUUAAAAUGAGCCGCAGAGAUUCUGCGCCAUUUUCUGGGUGUUCCUUCUUAAACGUCGGAUAGAAUUCAUCUGUGAAGCUAUCUAGAACUAGAUUUCUUCUGGAAAAGUUUUAAAUUUCUAAAUCAAUUUCUUAAAUAGAUACAACGCUACUUAUAUUUUAUAUUUUUCCCUCAUGUGCGUUUUGCUGACAAUUGUGGCUGUCAGGUAGUUUGUUGAUAAUAGGGGAGGCUGUGCAUUUGUUGGGGCAGCGAGUGGGGAAAUCUCUCUAUCUUCCUCUCAAUUUUGCUAAGAACCUAAAACUCCUCUUAAAAAAGUCUUGAAAAAGACAAAAGCACGAAGGAAACCAGAGAAUAUUUCAAGUUGAAUGAGAAUAAAAACAUGACAUUAGAAUUUGUGGGGUGUAGUUAAAGCUUGAUGCCCGUGCUCCACAACCACAGGAAAUGGACAAACCCUACCAAAGUUAUCAAAAGAGAAGGACACCCCAUCUGUAGAAAACAGUCAGAAGAUUAGGCAGAUGUGGUGGUGCGUGUCUGUUGUCC
rnacentral:lncRNA from 1 species